rnacentral:rRNA from 1 species
UACGGAGGGGGCUAGCGUUGUUCGGAAUUACUGGGCGUAAAGCGCACGUAGGCGGACUGUUAAGUCAGGGGUGAAAUCCCGGGGCUCAACCUCGGAACUGCCUUUGAUACUGCAAAUCUCGAGUCCGGAAGAGGUGAGUGGAAUUCCUAGUGUAGAGGUGAAAUUCGUAGAUAUUAGGAAGAACACCAGUGGCGAAGGCGGCUCACUGGUCCGGUACUGACGCUGAGGUGCGAAAGCGUGGGGGAGCAAACAGG